GAUGAACGCUGACAGAAUGCUUAACACAUGCAAGUCAACUUGAAUUUGGGUUUUUAACUUAGGUUUGGGUGGCGGACGGGGGAGUAACGCGUAAAGAACUUGCCUCACAGCUAGGGACAACAUUUGGAAACGAAUGCUAAUACCUAAUAUUAUGAUAAUAGGGCAUCCUAUAAUUAUGAAAGCUAUAAGCGCUGUGAGAGAGCUUUGCGUCCCAUUAGCUAGUUGGAGAGGUAACGGCUCACCAAGGCGAUGAUGGGUAGCCGGCCUGAGAGGGUGAUCGGCCACAAGGGGACUGAGACACGGCCCUUACUCCUACGGGAGGCAGCAGUGGGGAAUAUUGGACAAUGGACCGAGAGUCUGAUCCAGCAAUUCUGUGUGCACGAUGAAGUUUUUCGGAAUGUAAAGUGCUUUCAGUUGGGAAGAAACAAAUGACGGUACCAACAGAAGAAGUGACGGCUAAAUACGUG
rnacentral:rRNA from 1 species